UUUCAAUCUGUUCUGCUAGAAGCUAAAUUAGCUUCCCCAUAUGAAUAUCAUAUUAUGAUGUAAGGUGAAAUUUGAGAAAGGUAAAACGUGACUUGUGUGCUACAGGCCUAGAGAGACAUUGAUUCCUCUUUUGUCUUCUUUUUCAGUCGUUGGCACAUACAACACCUCAUCACAUUUGUCGUUCCGUAAGGGAAUGCUUCCGGGAUGUGUGGCAUCCAAAACCGAAAACGAAUGGUGGGACAGAUAUCUCAGAUCCAGUGUUGAUGUCUUGCAUAAGAAAGCUACAUCAUACUAAGAAAGAAACAUCAGCUUGGCCCAACUGAAAGACAAUCUGACAACCAGACUGGUUUAAGUGGCUUUUUGCAGCAGGGAAAAGAACAAUUUAACAAAAUGUGAGUUUAUAGUUGGUGCGGCUCUGCUGCACUAAUCAGUAUCAUACAGAUUCUUGUGGAUUUACUCUGCAGAAGAAAGAAACAUCAGCUUGGCCCAACUGAAAGACAAUCUGACAACCAGACUGGUUUAAGUUGGCUUUUUGCAGCAGGGAAAAGAACAAUUUAACAAAAUGUGAGUUUAUAGUUGGUGCGGCUCUGCUGCACUAAUCAGUAUCAUACAGAUUCUUGUGGAUUUACUCUGUUCGUUACUUAUCUAUCUGCGGCUUCUUUAAAGAUUAAAUUCCAGCAACCCCUGGGAGU
rnacentral:lncRNA from 1 species